GUACUUACCUGGCAGGGGAGAUACUUGAUCAUGAAGGUGGUUUUCCCAGAGUGGGGUUCAUCCAUCGCACACAGGUGUGCUGACUCCUGCAAAUUUCCCCAGUGGGAAGCUUGGCUACAUACUUUGUGGCAGUGGGGGACUGCGCUCCUGUUUUCCUUAU